rnacentral:rRNA from 1 species
CAGUCGCCGCGGGAAAACGGAGGGUGCAAGCGUUAUCCGGAUUCACUGGGUUUAAAGGGUGCGUAGGCGGAUCUGUAAGCCAGUGGUGAAAUCUCCAGGCUUAACCUGGAAACUGCCGUUGAUACUAUAGGUCUUGAAUUUUGUGGAGGUUAGCGGAAUAUGUCAUGUAGCGGUGAAAUGCAUAGAUAUGACAUAGAACACCAAUUGCGAAGGCAGCUGGCUACACAACUAUUGACGCUGAGGCACGAAAGCGUGGGGAUCAAACAGGAUUAGAUACCCGCGUAGUCCCUGUCUCUUAUAC